rnacentral:rRNA from 1 species
GAUGAACGCUAGCGGGAGGCUUAACACAUGCAAGUCGAGGGGCAGCAUAGGGUAGCAAUACUCUGAUGGCGACCGGCAAACGGGUGAGUAACGCGUAUGCAACCUACCCUGUACAGGGGGAUAACCCGGAGAAAUUCGGACUAAUAUCCCGUAAUAAUAUCCGGAGGCAUCUUUGGAUAUUUAAAGUUCCGACGGUACGGGAUGGGCAUGCGUAACAUUAACUGGUUGGUAAGGUAACGGCUUACCAAGGCUAUGAUGUUUAGGGGUCCUGAGAGGGUGGUCCCCCACACUGGUACUGAGACACGGACCAGACUCCUACGGGAGGCAGCAGUGAGGAAUAUUGGUCAAUGGGCGCAAGCCUGAACCAGCCAUCCCCGCGUGCAGGAAGACGGCCCUAUGGGUUGUAAACUGCUUUUCCAGGGAGAGAAACUUACGCACGUGUUGCGUGACUGGACGGUACCCUGGGAAUAAGCAUCCGGCUAACUCCCGUGCCCAGCAGCCGCGGUAAGGUUGUGUGUA